GGGUUGACGGCCGUCGAGGGUUGGCAACACUGCUCACUACACGGUCAUCGAUGAACCAGUCAAAAUGGCGUCCAGUGAGACAUCCACCGACGACUCUCUUUACCCAAUUGCCGUGCUAAUAGACGAACUACGGAACGAGGAUGUACAGCUGCGUCUAAACUCCAUCAAGAAACUCUCGACCAUCGCCUUGGCCCUCGGAGUGGAGAGGACAAGAAGCGAACUCAUCCCCUUCCUCACCGACACAAUAUACGAUGAGGACGAGGUUUUGUUGGCCCUGGCCGAGCAGCUGGGCACGUUUACCCCUCUGGUCGGGGGUCCAGAGUACGUCCAUUGUUUAUUGCCGCCUCUAGAGUCCCUCGCCACAGUGGAGGAGACGGUGGUGCGGGACAAAGCCGUGGACUCCCUGCGGAGAAUAUGCGAAGAACACAACACGGAGGACUUGGAGACGCACUUUGUGCCCCUGGUGAAGCGGCUGGCCGUAGGAGACUGGUUCACAUCGCGUACCUCCGCCUGCGGCCUCUUCUCCGUCUGUUACACCAGGCUCUCCGUGGCAACUAAAGCUGAACUACGUUCCCACUUCCGUUCACUAUGCCAGGACGACACCCCAAUGGUGCGUCGUGCGGCAGCGGGGAAGUUGGGCGAAUUCGCAAAGGUCGUUGAAGUGGAGUACCUGAAGACGGACCUCAUCCCCAUGUUUGUCGCUCUAGCGCAGGACGAGCAGACAACCCCACAACUCUGGCAGGAUUCCGUGAGGUUGUUGGCGGUGGAGGCCUGCGUCAGUAUGGCCGGUCUACUGCAGCAGGAGGACACGGAGAUGCUGGUCAUGCCCACUCUCCGUCAGGCGGCGGAGGACAAGUCGUGGAGAGUCAGGUACAUGGUCGCCGAUCGCUUCAUUGACCUCCAGAAGGCUGUAGGGCCAGAGAUUACCAAGACCGAUCUUGUUCCUGCCUUCCAGAGUUUGCUAAAGGAUGUGGAAGCUGAGGUUCGAGCAGCAGCAGCGGGUAAGGUCAAAGACUUCUGCCAGAACGUCGAUCCCAGCGUCCAGGAGAAUGUUAUCAUGAACAACAUUCUUCCCUGUGUUAAGGAACUAGUAACGGACGGGAACCAGCACGUCAAAUCUGCCCUGGCCGGGGUGAUAAUGGGCCUGUCACCGAUACUGGGUAAGGACAACACCGUCAACCACCUCCUGCCACUCUUCCUCUCACAGCUUAAGGAUGAAUGUCCUGAAGUCAGACUCAACAUUAUCUCCAACCUCGACUGUGUUAAUGAAGUCAUCGGUAUCCAGCAGCUAUCCCAGUCGUUGCUGCCGGCGAUCGUUGAGUUGGCAGAGGAUACUAAAUGGCGAGUGCGUCUAGCGAUCAUUGAAUACAUGCCCCUGCUGGCUGGCCAACUAGGGGUCGACUUCUUCAACCAAUCCUUGUCUAAGUUGUGCAUGACGUGGCUUGUGGAUCAUGUGUACGCUAUCCGGGAAGCAGCGACCAACAACCUACGCAAACUGGUGGAGAAGUUUGGGGCAGAUUGGGCGUCUCAGAACGUUUUACCCAAGAUAAACGCAAUGUCUCGUGACGGCAAUUACCUCCACCGCAUGACCUGUCUUGCCUGUAUAAAUGUCGUAGGAGAAGUGUGUGGCAAGGACGUCACCACCAAAACACUCCUCCCUACUGUACUGGCCAUGGCCAACGAUAACGUCCCCAACGUGAGGUUUAAUGUGGCCAAGACCCUACAGAUCAUUGGCCCCCAUAUUGAGAAGGAGUCCCUCCAUUCCCAAGUCAAGGCAGUGUUAGACAGACUGAAUGAUGACCCAGACACGGACGUUAAAUACUUCGCCUCUGAAGCACUGACAGAAAAUGGUCUUAUAUAAAUGGCCUUAUUUUUUCUAGCCUUUGGCUGAGAAAAAUAAAAGGUGCUGCUGUAAUAUCUUCUGCCAUGACUCCGCUCUUUGCAACACCAUAGGGGGCGGAAAAUCCAUCCCAACGAGCACAACACAAGACCUAAGUCGGGGAACGUUUACUAUUUCAACCACAAGAUCUUGACGAGUGUUUUGGGAUAUGAGGAAAUGGCAUCUUGGUUUAUCCCCUCCACCCACCCCCCCCCUCCUUCCCCCUCCCCCUCGUGUAUUUACGGUGUGUUUAUAAAUCCCAGGUCGUGAGGCAGUUGGACCCAGCGGGCUUAUCUGCUCUCCACUAUUCUAUCACAAAUCUGUUUCAACGAGUAUUUUUAUUUGUUUCCUUUUAACGUCAACGGGGUCUAUUAACCCACUCCUAAAUUUUGUAAACCCCAUGUUGACGACUUAUCAUUAAAGCCGUACUGAUGACUGUUUUAUAAUAUUUAUUUUUGACAUUGUAUUAAUUCUGAUUUGUUUUUCCCUUUUAUCAAUUAUUUUGUUUUUUUUUUCAUCUGUAACAUUGAGUUUGACAUAUUGGGAAUAAACUAUUAUAGAGAGGAUCAUUUUGUUAUGAGUACUGAACUGUAGUGGUCUAUGUGUGUGAGGCACCACUAGAUCUCUCUCAAUGUUGGACGAGCGUACGGACGGAAAACGGAAUGAACUUAGGGUCGCAUUGUCCCCAUAGACUAUAGUCAGUCCUCCUAGAGCCCACAGUGGAUUGAACCAUUUAUCAGAUCCUUGGGGACGUGUAAAACUUAUGAAAUUUCCUAGUUCUGUUUUCUUAUUCACAGUAUGGUAAAUAUAAGGCUCACAAAUAUAACUUUUCUACGCUUGAUGGACGGUCGAUUUUAUUGGUAUUUCAUUUAUAUAUAGAGAGAGAGAGAGAUAAUCACCCUGUCCUUGUGUACUGUGAGGUGCGUCGGUGAUUACGUCGACGGAAUAAAGUCGUUUAAGCUCAUUGUGGUGGCUAUCGGCAUAUAGAUGGAUCACUGCGCACCUACAGUGAUUUGUUUCAUUAAUUUGUGACUAGUGCAGAAGUAUUGCCAUCAAUGCCCCUCUGUAGUUAAUGUACUGUAGGUCACUAUAUAUAUAUUGAUCAGUUCAUAUUAGUGAUUUUUUUAUAUCUAUAUAUAAUAAAUAUUUAAUUUUUGCAGGAGAUUAUGCAAAAAAAAACAAAAAUAGUAAACCAGCCAUUCUUGUAUUAUUAUUAUUAUUAUUAUUAUUAUUAUUCAUGUGACCAGCUCUCCAAUGCUAAUGUAUUCUAUAAUUUUUCUGUACAAAUACAUAUUCCAUAGUGGA